GAUGAACGCUAGCUACAGGCUUAACACAUGCAAGUCGAGGGACCGGCGCACGGGUGAGUAACACGUAUCCAACCUUCCCCUUACCCGGGGAUAGCCUUUCGACAGAAAGAUUAAUACCCGUUGUAUAGGAUGGGGAGGCGUUCCUUUAGGUUGUUGGUGAGGUAACGGCUUGCCAAGCCUUCGACGGAGAGGGGUUCUGGGAGGAAGGUCCCCCACAUUGGAACUGAGGCACAGUCCAAACUCCUACGGGAGGCAAGAGUGAGGAAUGUUGGUCAAUAGACGUUAGCCUGAACCAGCCGAGUAGCGUGAAGGAUGAAGGCUUAUGGGUCGUAAACUUCUUUUGUAUAAGAAUAUGUAUUAAAUGAGUAAGGAUCGGCUAACUCCGUGCCAGCAGCCGCUGUAAUUC
rnacentral:rRNA from 1 species